rnacentral:rRNA from 1 species
AGCGCAGGCGGUUUUUUAAGUCUGAUGUGAAAGCCCUUGGCUCAACCAAGGAAGUGCAUCGGAAACUGGAGAACUUGAGUGCAGAAGAGGACAGUGGAACUCCAUGUGUAGCGGUGAAAUGCGUAGAUAUAUGGAAGAACACCAGUGGCGAAGGCGGCUGUCUGGUCUGUAACUGACGCUGAGGCUCGAAAGCAUGGGUAGCGAACA